rnacentral:rRNA from 1 species
CCUACGGGUGGCUGCAGUGGGGAAUAUUGCACAAUGGGGGAAACCCUGAUGCAGCAACGCCGCGUGAGUGAAGAAGUAUUUCGGUAUGUAAAGCUCUAUCAGCAGGGAAGAAAAUGAUAGUACCUGACUAACAAGACCCGGCUAACUACGUGGCAGCAGCCGCGGCAAUACGUAGGGGGCAAGAGUUAUCCGGAUUUAUUGGGUUUAAAGGGUGCGUAGGCUGUGGGGUAAGUCAGCGGUGAAAUGCCCCCGCUCAACGGGGUGGAGUGCCAUUGAUACUGCCGUGCUGGAGUGCGGAUGCGGUGAGAGGAAUGUGUGGUGUAGCGGUGAAAUGCAUAGAUAUCACACAGAACACCGAUUGCGAAGGCGUCUCACGAAUCCGCGAUUGACGCUGAUGCACGAAAGCGUGGGUAUCAAACAGGAUUAGAUACCCUAGUAGUC